UACGUAGGGACCAAGCGUUGUUCGGAUUUACUGAGCGUAAAGGGCGCGUAGGCGGCAUGACAAGUCACUUGUGAAAUCUCUGGGCUUAACUCAGAACGGCCAAGUGAUACUGUCGCGCUAGAGUGCAGAAAGGGCAAUCGGAAUUCUUGGUGUAGCGGUGAAAUGCGUAGAUAUCAAGAGGAACACCUGAGGCGAAGGCGGGUUGCUAGGCUGACACUGACGCUGAGGCGCGAAAGCCAGGGGAGCAAACGGG
rnacentral:rRNA from 1 species